rnacentral:rRNA from 1 species
CGGGAGGCAGCAGUGGGGAAUCUUGCACAAUGGAGGAAACUCUGAUGCAGCGAUGCCGCGUGAGUGAAGAAGGCCUUUGGGUUGUAAAGCUCUUUCGUCGGGGAAGAAGAUGACUGUACCCGAAUAAGAAGGUCCGGCUAACUUCGUGCCAGCAGCCGCGGUAAUACGAAGGGACCUAGCGUAGUUCGGAAUUACUGGGCUUAAAGAGUUCGUAGGUGGUUGAAAAAGUUAGUGGUGAAAUCCCAGAGCUUAACUCUGGAACUGCCAUUAAAACUUUUCAGCUAGAGUAUGAUAGAGGAAAGCAGAAUUUCUAGUGUAGAGGUGAAAUUCGUAGAUAUUAGAAAGAAUACCAAUUGCGAAGGCAGCUUUCUGGAUCAUUACUGACACUGAGGAACGAAAGCAUGGGUAGCGAAGAGGAUUAGAUACCCUCGUAGUCCAUGCCGUAAACGAUGUGUGUUAGACGUUGGAAAUUUAUUUUCAGUGUCGCAGCGAAAGCGAUAAACACACCGCCUGGGGAGUACGACCGCAAGGUUAAAACUCAAAUGAAUUGACGG